GUGGUGGUAAGACCAGCUCCAUGGCACAAAGGAAGGUGUGAGUAGUUUCAGAAAUGGCCUGAAACAAAGCAGCACAAAAGGACACAUGGUGGGAAACCAGAACUAAUACAAAAAGGGCAGAGAAAGAGUUACAUUUAGAUUAGCAAAGGGGAUGGAAGUUAGACAGACAAACAGCAGGUGGGAAACAGGAGUAUCAGAGAAGAGAAAUACAGCAACAAGGUGCUGGGAGGAGCCUUGAGAGGUCAUCAUGUCCCAAAGUGCCCCUAUACAUUCCUGUAGGCAACAACACUGAUGUCACCUGGAAGGUGACACCUCAUGCAAAGGUCGUGCUCAACCAGGCCUGGGAUAACGAAUGAACGAACAGCCAGGGAGAAGCACCCAGCAUGGGAGUACAAGAAUGCCAGCGGCCUGGGCAACACAACCCAGGAACCUGACCAACUGGUGGAUGUUGUCAGACCAGAUACUGCAGGCAUGAAAGAAAGAGGGUGGAAUGGGAACUGUGACUGGAAAACAGGCAUUUUAGGAAACGCAUUACCCAAGAAAGAGAAAAAUAAAAGGUAACGGCACCACACUAGCAAUUAGUGGCAAGCAGCUUCCACAAUAAAUAAAUAAAUAAAUAAAAACAUAAAACAAUGGAUUUAAUCAAGAACCCCAAAGGCGUAAUGGGAAUUAAAAAUAUUUAGGGUACAGCUUAACCUGUGAAAGGAAUUAUGUGUCAUGGCAGCCUGCUGUAGCAAAAAGCUGGGGAGUCUGAUGCUCCCAGACAGAACAGGAUGAGACAAUAAGGCAUAAGAGGGGAAAAAAGAAACGCAUAAGCCAGAGCACAACAAAUCACAACUAAACGAACAGGGACCCAUCCAAAAACUGCUCUCACAAAGAUGAGGGCUGCAUCUCCAAAGCCAAGCAGGCUUUGGGAAGGAAGCCGUCUGGAACGGAUGGUGACGUUUCACUGGAAGACGACCAGCCAACCAAGCAGGCACCGUCUGCCUGGCAGGCUCCGGGGUGGAGUCAUUGCAGAACUGUGCUCCUGGACUUCUUUACUGAAGUAGAAAUUCUUUUUUAAGAUGUUGCACUAAACCAAGACCUGAAAGGGAAACUGUGCAAAGAAUUUCUCUGUACCCUUGAAUCCCAGGCUGGGCAUAGGUCACAAAGCAAAAACUCCCCAUGUGAGAACCAGGCCCACUCCUCAGGUGUCGAGUGCAGAUUGGCUGCAAACCCACACAGGACACAUGUCCCAGUGCUCUGCUUCACCUGUGUUUUACUCAACACAUCAGAAAGUCAGAAGACAAACACAUAAAGAAAACCAGGCAUUCUAACCCUCUCACAAAUGGAGCACCUUCGGUGCUGUCUUUACCCCUCGAAUCGCAGUAUCUGUUAUCAGUGAAUGCCAUUUUUGAAAUCUUAUACCAAAAAGGGGUGAAAAUGACUCCAGCCACCCUGUGUCAUGUGAAGACCGUCUGUUGAAGCACAUAAACAAAGCAGGAGUUCGGUGGCAGUCACUGUAGAGAGCCCCAUGCUGCACCAGCUGCAGCAGGGCAGGACCAGGGUGCCAGGGCAUUAUGGGAUCCACACACACCUUCUCCUCUCCCUUCCUGCUGAACCAACAAGGCAUAUGCACUAAGGAAAGCUGUGAGCCUGCACCAGCACAAAGAACGGCGAUGAAGGAAAGCACA
ensembl:lncRNA